GAUGAACGCUAGCUACAGGCUUAACACAUGCAAGUCGAGGGGAAUCGACAUCGAAAGCUUGCUUUUGAUGGGCGUCGACCGGCGCACGGGUGAGUAACGCGUAUCCAACCUGCCCACCACUUGGGAAUAACCUUGCGAAAGUAAGACUAAUACCCAAUGAUAUCCCACGAAGGCAUCCGAAUGGGAUUAAAGAUUUAUCGGUGAGGGAUGGGGAUGCGUCUGAUUAGCUUGUGGGCGGGGUAACGGCCCACAAAGGCGACGAUCAGUAGGGGUUCUGAGAGGAAGGUCCCCCACAUUGGAACUGAGACACGGUCCAAACUCCUACGGGAGGCAGCAGUGAGGAAUAUUGGUCAAUGGGCGAGAGCCUGAACCAGCCAAGUAGCGUGCAGGAUGACGGCCCUAUGGGUUGUAAACUGCUUUUAUAAGGGAAUAAAGUGAGUCUCGUGAGACUUUUUGCAUGUACCUUAUGAAUAAGGACCGGCUAAUUCCGUGCCAGCCGCCGCCGUAA
rnacentral:rRNA from 1 species